rnacentral:lncRNA from 1 species
CUGACCAUCCCAUUUCUCCAUACAACGCAGUCACUCUCAAACUCUCUACCCAGUAGUAUCUUUUCUGACAUUUAUUCCUAUCUAAACUUGUCUCUUUGAUUUACAGAGAGAGAAAAAGAAAAACUACAUUAGUGGAGAAAAAUGUCUCAGAACUCCCCAAAUUUGAAAAGAGAAAGAGAAUAUUCAAUUAAAUGAGAAAUGAAAGUGAAGACAAUAUAUCAAACUUAUAUAAGGAAAAAGGAUUAUAAGAUUUGACUGUGAACAGUUGUGUGCUGACAAAUAACCUGAAUGAAAAGGACAUGUUCCUAGAAACACAGCAAUUACCAAAACUAACUCAAGAAAAAACAGGAACUAUAACCAGAUCUAUAACAAAGAG